UUUCUAUUCAGUUUAGAAGGGCACCGUUCGGUGAGAUCAUUCGUCUAGGUGAAGGGAACAAGCUCCAGGGUAAGACUAUUGACUCAGUUCGGUAGUUUGUUUGUUUGCAAACUACCAAACUUGACAGGCCGCAAGCCCUGAUUCUCUGGAACUGUUUUGGGUAUGAAACCAUGCGUGCGAUCGGUCAAAAAGACUUCCAGGAAUUUCCUGAACCCCUGCUCUGAUCUGG